rnacentral:rRNA from 1 species
AGAGUCCGAGCCUGGCUCAGGAGGAGCGCUCGCGGCAGGCUUCAUACACGCAAGUCGUGGGGCAGCAGGUCCCGUAGCAAUACGGGAUGCUUGGCGACCGGCAAACGGGUGUGGAACACGUACACAACCUCCCUUUUGAGCGGGGAAUAGCCCGGGGAAACCCGGAUUAAUACCCCAUAAAAUAUUCGAUUUCCGCAUGGUUUUAAUAUUAAAGCUUCCGGCACUUUAAAGAUGGGUGUGGCGCCUGAUUAGGCAGUUGGCGGGGUAACGGGCCCACCAAACCUACGAUCAGUAACUGGUGUGAGAGCACGACCAGUCACACGGGCACUGAGACACGGGCCCGACUCCUACGGGAGGCAGCAGUAAGGAAUAUUGGUCAAUGGACGCAAGUCUGAACCAGCCAUGCCGCGUGGAGGAUGAAGGUCCUCUGGAUUGUAAACUUCUUUUAUCUGGGAAGAAAUCCAUGAAUUCUUUUCGUGGUUGACGGUACCAGAUGUAAUAAAGCACCCGCUAUACUCUCGUUGCGCAGCAGCCGCGGGUAAUACCGGAGGGUGCAAGCGGUUAAUCCCGGAUUCUCCUGGGUUUAAAGGGUGCGGUACGUGGGGCACGUAAAUCAGUGGUGAAAUCACUUCUUCGCUCCUAACUCAGGAACUGCGUACAUGGAUACCUAUCUCGUCUUGCAUACUUCCGUGGGAUGUCACGCGGAAUAUGGCUCAUCGUACGCGUGUGAAAGUGCUUAGAGAUCCUGACAUUAGCACCACCCACUUGCGGAACGCCAGCCUCGUCUACCACGAAUUAGUUGACAUUGAUGCACGAAACGCGUUGGCGAUCCAACACAUGGAUUUAGAUACCGUGGGUAGUCCACCGCCCUAACCGAUCGAUACUCGACCUACUGCGGGAAUACCACUGUGUGUGUCUGAUCAGAAAGCCAUUAAGAUAUCCUACCUCGUGGAAGUCCCGAUCGCAAAGAUUCGACUCGAUAGAAUUGCGCGUCGCCACAUAGCAGGUGAAGCCAGUGGGUUUAAAUUGGUUGUUCCGCGAGGGAACCUUCCCUGGGCUAGAAAUGUCCAUUGGCCUGGGGGGUGAAAGCUCACUUUGUAAGCAAAUCCACCGCUGAUUAAGGUGUUGCCAUGCCGGUCGUCAACCUCGUGCCCUUGAGGUGUUGGGUUAAGUCCCGCCAACGGAGCGGCAACCCCCAUCAUUAGUUCCCAUCAGGGUAACGCUGGGAACUCUAGUGAAACUGCCGUCGUAAGACGUGAGGAAGGAGGGGAUGAUGUCAAGUCAUCAUGCCCUUUAUGCCCAGGGCUACACACGUGCUACAAUGGGGCGUACAAAGAGCAGCAACAUAGCGAUAUGAAGCCAAUCUCAAAAAACGCCUCUCAGUUCAGAUUGAAGUCUGCAACUCGACUUCAUGAAGCCGGAAUCGCUAGUAAUCGUAUAUCAGCAAUGAUACGGUGAAUACGUUCCCGGACCUUGCACACACCGCCCGCCAAGCCAUGGAAGCCGGGUGUACCUAAAGUCGGUAACCGUAAGGAGCCGCCUAGGGUAAAACUGGUGACUGGGGCUAAGUCGUAACAAGGUAACC